UGCUGCACAGAAGUGACCUGACUUCUCCUGUGUUACCCUUUGCCAACCACAUUACUCGCGUACACAAAUAUGAGCUACUUACAGCAAAGGGCAAAUAUAAAUUACCUCACUGCUGCUGCACUGCCAUCACCUCUUAAGAAUUAGCUGACUGUGCACCACUGCAGGGGCUGAGGAACAAUCUCUCUGUGUAUAACCUUCAGGCAAGAUUUACUCUUCCUGUCUCUCUACCAAACAUUGUGCAUUUUUGACCAUUCUGUCAAGGAGGCUGCCGCUAUGCACCUCCUCCCACUCCCACCCUAUUUUGUGGCAGACCGGAACAUUCUUUAAGCUUUUUUUUUCUGGAAAAAGCUCAUCCAGAACCCCGCUGCUAGUCUGGUGUUCUCUCUCU